rnacentral:rRNA from 1 species
CCUACGGGAGGCAGCAGUGAGGAAUAUUGGUCAAUGGGCGGAAGCCUGAACCAGCCAAGUAGCGUGCGGGAUGAAGGCCCUACGGGUCGUAAACCGCUUUUGCACGGGGAUAACACCAUCCACUUGUGGAGGUCUGCAGGUACCGUGCGAAUAAGGGCCGGCUAAUUCCGUGCCAGCAGCCGCGGUAAUACGGAAGGCCCGAGCGUUAUCCGGAUUCAUUGGGCUUAAAGGGAGCGUAGGCGGGCGUUCAAGUCAGCUGUAAAAUUGCGCGGCUCAACCGCGCCCCGCAGUUGAAACUGGACGCCUUGAGUUCACAACAGGCAGGCGGAAUUCGUGGUGUAGCGGUGAAAUGCAUAGAUAUCACGAGGAACCCCGAUUGCGAAGGCAGCCUGCCGGGGUGCGACUGACGCUGAGGCUCGAAGGUGCGGGUAUCAAACAGGAUUAGAUACCCCAGUAGUC